rnacentral:lncRNA from 1 species
GUCAACUGAUUUUUUACAGAGUCCACACAGAGCUGCCGUGUGUUGACAAUAUCUUCACUCGAAGCAUUUUUCUAAACAGUAACUUCGAGAGAAAUCCAGUGUUUCUCCCUUUUGGCCUCCUCCAUAUUCCUUUCCCGGCUGAUCUGAUUAUUUUUCCCUUCACGUUUUGUCCCAAUAGCAAAUUACCAAUUCUAUGAAUUGCAAAGCAGCCUCGGAGACGCUGAGGGGUAGAGAGGGGGAGAUGCGAAGAUUGAAAGGGAUCUUUGCAAACACAAUCACGUUCUUAAAUGGAAAUGUGGGGCUUUAAACAAAUCUUACAUCUCUCCUGUUCCAGUCGUCUAAAACUCCGCAAUCAGGCACACGUUCGACUCCAUCUAAAACCACAGCUUUUUUUAGAAGAUUUUUUUGGUAUCACUUCUAUUUAAAUUAUUUACCUCACUGUAUUUUUUAGUUCACGUUCGUGUUUGUCUGUUUGUCUUGCUCUUAUGGGGUGUUUCCACAGGCUUUUGCGAGGAAAGUGCCGGAGAAUUCAGGCGUCAAACCAAACGGCUUCUCUGUGGACUAAUGGAGCUGAAAGCUGAUGAUGAUGAUGAUCGAGAAAAUAUCAUGCAAACAUCAUUUGCCAUCAGUGAAAGCAGAUCUAGAGAUAAGAGGCUCAAAGGGGACUGAGCAACUCGCUUUCGACACAUCUGAGGAGUCCACUGAAAGAGCUAAUAACGGGAUCAAGGGCAGAGGCAGAGAGGUGAGUGUAGAUGUGCACAGCAGCUAUUUGGGGAUCUUCCCCUCAUUAUUAAGAGGACCAAAUGUGGAGUUCAAAUAAACAGGGUUGAACACCCUUUA